rnacentral:rRNA from 1 species
AGUCAAGUGACAAAGUGCAUACGGUGGAUGCCUUGGCAGUCAGAGGCGAUGAAAGACGUGUAAGCCUGCGAAAAGCUUCGGGGAGGUGGCAAUAGACCUUUGAUCCGGGGAUGUCUGAAUGGGGAAACCCACCUACUGUAAGGUAGGUAUCGCAACAUGAAUACAUAGUGUUGCGAGGCGAACGAGGGGAAGUGAAACAUCUCAGUACCCUCAGGAAAAGAAAUCAAUUGAGAUUCCCUUAGUAGCGGCGAGCGAACGGGGACCAGCCCUUAAGUCGAUUAUGCUUUAGUGGAGCGGUUCUGGAAAGGCCGGCCAUAGUAGGUGAUAGCCCUGUACACGAAAGGGCAUAUUCGAUGAAAACGAGUAGGACGGGACACGUGAAAUCCUGUUUGAACAUGGGGGGACCAUCCUCCAAGGCUAAAUACUCCUGACUGACCGAUAGUGAACAAGUACCGUGAGGGAAAGGCGAAAAGAACCGUGGUGAACGGAGUGAAAUAGAUCCUAAAACCGUAUGCAUACAAGCAGUGGGAGCAGACUUGUUCUGUGACUGCGUACCUUUUGUAUAAUGGGUCAGCGACUUAUUCUCAGUAGCAAGGUUAACCGUAUAGGGGAGCCGUAGGGAAACCGAGUCUGAAUAGGGCGUUAAGUUGCUGGGAGUAGACCCGAAACCGGGUGAUCUAUCCAUGAGCAGGGUGAAGGUGCCGUAACAGGCAUUGGAGGCCCGAACCCACCGUCGUUGAAAAGCCGGGGGAUGACUUGUGGAUAGGGGUGAAAGGCUAAUCAAACUCGGUGAUAGCUGGUUCUCCCCGAAAGCUAUUUAGGUAGCGCCUCGGACGAACACUUACGGGGGUAGAGCACUGUUUCGGCUAGGGGGUCAUACCGACUUACCAAACCGAUGCAAACUCCGAAUACCGUAAAGUGAUAUCCGGGAGACAGACGGUGGGUGCUAAUGUCCAUCGUCAAGAGGGAAACAACCCAGACCGCCAGCUAAGGCCCCAAAAUUGUAGUUAAGUGGGAAACGAUGUGGGAAGGCAUAGACAGCUAGGAGGUUGGCUUAGAAGCAGCCACCCUUUAAAGAAAGCGUAAUAGCUCACUAGUCGAGUCGGCCUGCGCGGAAGAUGUAACGGGGCUAAAACUACAUGCCGAAGCUGCGGAUGCAUAUUUUAUAUGCGUGGUAGGGGAGCGUUCUGUAAGUCUGCGAAGGUGUGUUGAGAAGCAUGCUGGAGAUAUCAGAAGUGCGAAUGCUGACGUGAGUAACGAUAAGGGGUGUGAAAAACAUCCCCGCCGGAAGACCAAGGGUUCCUGCUCAACGUUAAUCGGAGCAGGGUGAGUCGACCCCUAAGGCGAGGCUGAAAAGCGUAGUCGAUGGGAAAUAGGUUAAUAUUCCUAUACCUCUUACUGAUGCGAUGGAGGGACGGAGAAGGCUAGGUUUACCAGCGAUUGGUAGUGCUGGGGAAAGGUUGUAGGCAUGUAUCUUAGGCAAAUCCGGGAUACUUUAUGCUGAGAACUGAGACGAACCCAUACUUGUAUGGGGAAGUAACUGAUGCCAUGCUUCCAAGAAAAGCUUCUAAGCUUCAGUCAGUAAGGGAUCGUACCCGAAACCGACACAGGUGGUCAGGUCGAGAAGACUAAGGCGCUUGAGAGAACUCUGCUGAAGGAACUAGGCAAAAUAGUACCGUAACUUCGGGAGAAGGUACGCUGUUGAUCGUGAAUUCCUUGCGAAGUAAGCGAUCGGCAGCCUCAGAAACUAGGCCGCUGCAACUGUUUAUUAAAAACACAGCACUCUGCAAACACGAAAGUGGACGUAUAGGGUGUGAUGCCUGCCCGGUGCUGGAAGGUUAAUUGAUGGGGUUAGCGAAAGCGAAGCUCUUGAUCGAAGCCCCAGUAAACGGCGGCCGUAACUAUAACGGUCCUAAGGUAGCGAAAUUCCUUGUCAGGUAAGUUCUGACCCGCACGAAAGGCGUAAUGAUUUGGGCGCUGUCUCGGCAGCAGACUCGGUGAAAUCUUAGUACCUGUGAAGAUGCAGGUUACCCGCAACUAGACGGAAAGACCCCAUGGAGCUUUACUGUAGCCUGACAUUGAGUUUUGGUAAAUGAUGUACAGGAUAGGUGGGAGACUGCGAAAUAUGUACGCUAGUAUGUAUUGAGUCAUUGUUGGGAUACCACCCUUUAUUUACUGGAAUUCUAACUUUAGUGUUAACACUACUAAGGACAGUGUCAGGUGGGCAGUUUGACUGGGGCGGUCGCCUCCGAAAAUGUAACGGAGGCGCUCAAAGGUUUCCUCAGCGCGGUUAGAAAUCGCGCGUAGAGUGCAAAGGCA